rnacentral:piRNA from 1 species
CNGAUCACCCAUUACUGACUGCUUGGUUAGU